rnacentral:rRNA from 1 species
UACGUAAAUGGCAAACGUUGUCCGGAUUUACUGAACGUAAAGAACGCGCAAACGGUCGUUCAAGUCGCGUGUGAAAACCCCCGACUCAACUGAAAAAGAUCACGCGAUACUGAUCGACUCGAAAACAGGAGAGGGUAGUGGAAUUCCCGGUGUAGUGGUGAAAUGCAUAGAUAUCGGAAAGAACACCAAUGGCGAAGGCGACUACCUAACCUGUUUCUUGACACUGAAACGCGAAAGCUAGGGGAACAAACGGG